rnacentral:rRNA from 1 species
UACGUAGGGUGCAAGCGUUGUCCGGAAUUAUUGGGCGUAAAGAGCUCGUAGGCGGUCUGUCGCGUCUGCUGUGAAACUCGGGGCUUAACCCCGGGCCUGCAGUGGGUACGGGCAGACUAGAGUGCGGUAGGGGAGACUGGAAUUCCUGGUGUAGCGGUGAAAUGCGUAGAUAUCAGGAGGAACACCUGCGGUGUAGACGGCUGGCUGGACCACUACUGACGCUGAGGCACGAAAGCGUGGGGAGCAAACAGG